UCGCACCGUGUUUGGCAAUGGUAGAACUCACACUGGUGAGGUAAUGGGAUCCGGUGGUUCUAGACUUGCCAACUACGGGCCAAGG
rnacentral:pre_miRNA from 12 species